AGAGCGAACGCUGGCGGCAGGCCUAACACAUGCAAGUCGAGCGCCCGUAGCAAUACGGGAGCGGCAGACGGGAUAGUAACACGUGGGAACGCGCCCUUCGGUUCGGAAUAACUCAGGGAAACUUGAGCUAAUACCGAAUACGCCCUUACGGGGAAAGAUUUAUUGCCGAAGGAACGGCCCGCGUCCGAUUAGCUAGUUGGUGAGGUAAUGGCUCACCAAGGCUACGAUCGGUAGCUGGUCUGAGAGGAUGACCAGCAUCACUGGGACUGAGACACGGCCCAGACUCCUACGGGAGGCAGCAGUGGGGAAUAUUGGACAAUGGGCGAAAGCCUGAUCCAGCCAUGCCGCGUGGAUGAUGAAGGCCUUAGGGUUGUAAAGUCCUUUUAACGGGAGAUAAUGACGGUACCGUAGAAUAAGCCCGGCUAACUUCGCGCCAGCAGCCGC
rnacentral:rRNA from 1 species